UACGGAGGGUGCGAGCGUUAUCCGGAUUCACUGGGUUUAAAGGGUGCGUAGGUGGGAAUGUAAGUCAGUGGUGAAAUCUCUGAGCUUAACUCAGAAAUUGCCAUUGAUACUAUGUUUCUUGAAUUUUCUGGAGGUCAGCGGAAUAUGUCAUGUAGCGGUGAAAUGCUUAGAUAUGACAUAGAACACCAAUUGCGAAGGCAGCUGGCUACAGGGAUAUUGACACUGAGGCACGAAAGCGUGGGGAUCAAACAGG
rnacentral:rRNA from 1 species